rnacentral:rRNA from 1 species
AGAAUCAACGCUGGCGGCGCGCUUAACACAUGCAAGUCGAACGAGAAAGGGGAGCAAUCCCUGAGUACAGUGGCGUACGGGUGAGUAACACGUGGGUAAUCUACCUCUUAGUGGGGAAUAACGCUGGGAAACCGGCGCUAAUACCGCAUAAGCUCGAGAGAGGAAAGCAGCAAUGCGCUGAGAGAGGAGCCCGCGGCCGAUUAGCUAGUUGGCAGGGUAAAAGCCUACCAAGGCAGAGAUCGGUAGCCGGCCUGAGAGGGCACACGGCCACACUGGCACUGAAACACGGGCCAGACCCCUACGGGAGGCAGCAGUGGGGAAUCUUGCACAAUGGGGGAAACCCUGAUGCAGCGACGCCGCGUGAGCGAUGAAGCCCUUCGGGGUGUAAAGCUCUUUCGGCAGGGACGAUAAUGACGGUACCUGCAGAAGCAGCUGCGGCUAACUACGUGCCAGCAGCCGCGGUAAUACGUAGGCAGCGAGCGUUGUUCGGAGUUACUGGGCGUAAAGGGUGUGUAGGCGGCUUUUUAAGUUUGGUGUGAAAUCUCCCGGCUCAACCGGGAGGGUGCGCCGAAUACUGAGAGGCUAGAGUACGGGAGAGGAAAGUGGAAUUCCUGGUGUAGCGGUGAAAUGCGUAGAUAUCAGGAGGAACACCGGUGGUGUAGACGGCUUUCUGGACCGUAACUGACGCUGAGACACGAAAGCGUGGGUAGCAAACAGGAUUAGAUACCCUGGUAGUCCACGCCCUAAACGAUGAAUGCUUGGUGUGGCGGGUAUCGAUCCCUCCGUGCCGAAGCUAACGCAUUAAGCAUUCCGCCUGGGGAGUACGGUCGCAAGGCUGAA